GGGUUAAAAGGGUCCGUAGGGCGGGGAUCUGUAGUCAGGUGGGUGAAAUCUCACAGGCUUAACUGUGAAACUGCCAUUGAUACUGCAGGUCUUGAGUGUUAUUGAAGUAGCUGGAAUAAAGUAGUGUAGCGGUGAAAUGCAUAGAUAUUACUUAGAACACCAAUUGCGAAGGCAGGUUACUAAGCAACAACUGACGCUGAUGGACGAAAGCGUGGGGAGCGAACAGGAUUAGAUACCCUGGUAGUCCACGCCGUAAACGAUGCUAACUCGUUUUUGGGCUUUCAGGUUCAGAGACUAAGCGAAAGUGAUAAGUUAGCCACCUGGGGAGUACGAACGCAAGUUUGAAACUCAAAGGAAUUGACGGGGGCCCGCACAAGCGGUGGAUUAUGUGGUUUAAUUCGAUGAUACGCGAGGAACCUUACCAAGGCUUAAAUGGGAAAUGACAGGUUUAGAAAUAGACAUUUUCUUCGGACAUUUUUCAAGGUGCUGCAUGGUUGUCGUCAGCUCGUGCGAAGAGGGGGAUAGGAUAAGUCCUGCAACGAACGCAACCCCUGUCACUAGUUGCCAUCAUUUAGUUGGGGGACUCUGGUGAGACUGCCUACGCAAGUA
rnacentral:rRNA from 1 species